rnacentral:rRNA from 1 species
UGGGGAAUAUUGCACAAUGGGCGAAAGCCUGAUGCAGCAACGCCGCGUGAAUGAUGAAGGCCUUCGGGUUGUAAAGCUCUGUCUUCUGGGACGAUAAUGACGGUACCAGAGGAGGAAGCUACGGCUAACUACGUGCCAGCAGCCGCGGUAAUACGUAGGUGGCAAGCGUUGUCCGGAUUUACUGGGCGUAAAGGAUGCGUAGGCGGAUACUUAAGUCAGAUGUGAAAAUCCCGGGCUUAACUUGGGAACUGCAUUUGAAACUGGGUAUCUAGAGUGCGGGAGAGGAAAGUGGAAUUCCUAGUGUAGCGGUGAAAUGCGUAGAGAUUAGGAAGAACACCAGUGUCGAAGGCGACUUUCUGGACCGUAACUGACGCUGAGGCAUGCAAGCGUGGGGAGCA